CGUUCUAUGGCCGAAUUGGUAAAGGCAUCGCCGCUCACAGGCAAGGUUGCGGGUUCGAGUCCCGCUGGAACGA
rnacentral:tRNA from 1 species